UCGGGCUCGGCCCGAUCCUCCA
rnacentral:rRNA from 1 species